CUAAGGCCGAUGGCGACCGGCGCACGGGUGAGUAACACGUAUCCAACCUGCCUCAUACUCGGGGAUAGCCUUUCGAAAGAAAGAUUAAUACCCGAUGUUAUAGUCCUACCGCAUGAUGGGAUUAUUAAAGAAUUUCGGUAUGGGAUGGGGAUGCGUUCCAUUAGUUAGUUGGCGGGGUAACGGCCCACCAAGACAACGAUGGAUAGGGGUUCUGAGAGGAAGGUCCCCCACAUUGGAACUGAGACACGGUCCAAACUCCUACGGGAGGCAGCAG
rnacentral:rRNA from 1 species